rfam:Nicotiana attenuata strain TT chromosome 6, whole genome shotgun sequence.
AUACCAUUCUCGGCCUUUUGGCUAAGAUCAGGUGUAAUAUCUGUUCUUAUCAGAUUUGAUACGUGGUUCAUCAGCUCACAUGAUAUUAACUCAAUUUUCUGUUGCUUGAGCUUAC